UCCUCCCUCUACCCACAGGGGAGUCUGUGCUUGUUUCUCAAUAAAUUUCCACUUUGCUAUACCACCUUUCAUCCAUGGUUUCAUUCUUCAAGUCCACCAGACAAGAGCCUGGGAACCAUCCUGCCCAGA